rnacentral:rRNA from 1 species
UACGGAAGGCAGCAGUGGGGAAUAUUGCACAAUGGGCGAAAGCCUGAUGCAGCUAUGCCGCGUGUAUGAAGAAGGCCUUAGGGUUGUAAAGUACUUUCAUCGGGGAGGAAAAAACAAAACUAAUAAUUUUAUUUCUUGACGUUACCCGAAAAAGAAGCACCGGCUAACUCCGUGCCAGCAGCCGCGGUAAUACGGAGGGUGCUAGCGUUAAUCAGAAUUACUGGGCGUAAAGAGCACGUAGGUGGUUUUUUUAAAGUCAGAUGUGAAAUCCCUGGGCUUAACCUAGGAACUGCAUUUUGAAACUGAAAUACUAGAGUAUCGUAGAGGGAGGUAGAAUUCUAGGUGUAGCGGUGAAAUGCGUAGAUAUCUGGAGGAAUACCUGUGGCGAAAGCGGCCUCCUAAACGAAUACUGACACUGAGGUGCGAAAGCGUGGGGAGCAAACAGGGAUUAGAU